rnacentral:tRNA from 1 species
AUUUUUAUAGUUUAAUAAAAAAACAUUACAUUUUCACUGUAAAAAUAAAAUAUUUUUUUUUAUUAAUA